rnacentral:rRNA from 1 species
AGAGUUUGAUCCUGGCUCAGAAUCAACGCUGGCGGCGCGCUUAACACAUGCAAGUCGCACGAGAAAGGGGAGCAAUCCCUGAGUAAAGUGGCGUACGGGUGAGUAACACGUGGAUAAUCCACCCUUUAGUGGGGAAUAACCCUGGGAAACCGGGGCUAAUACCGCAUAAGCCUGAGAAGGGAAAGCAGCAAUGCGCUGAAGGAGGAGUCCGCGGCCGAUUAGCUAGUUGGUGAGGUAAUGGCCCACCAAGGCGACGAUCGGUAGCCGGCCUGAGAGGGCACACGGCCACACUGGCACUGAAAUACGGGCCAGACUCCUACGGGAGGCAGCAGUGGGGAAUCUUGCACAAUGGAGGAAACUCUGAUGCAGCGACGCCGCGUGAGCGAUGAAGCCCUUCGGGGUGUAAAGCUCUUUCGACGGGAACGAUAAUGACGGUACCCGGAGAAGAAGCUGCGGCUAACUACGUGCCAGCAGCCGCGGUAAUACGUAGGCAGCGAGCGUUGUUCGGAAUUACUGGGCGUAAAGAGUGUGUAGGCGGUGCUCUAAGUUCGGUGUGAAAUCUCCCGGCUUAACUGGGAGGGUGCGCCGGAAACUGGGGUGCUCGAGCGUGGGAGAGGAAAGCGGAAUUCCUGGUGUAGCGGUGAAAUGCGUAGAUAUCAGGAGGAACACCUGGUGGUGUAGACAGCUUUCUGGACCAUUGCUGACGCUGAG